GUAAAGAUGGUGCUGGAAAGAUCCGUUCCUAUAAAGGGGACUAAUUCAGUUUAUAUCGCCACUUCAGUCAAAUGUUCCUUUAGAUCUGAAGAUUAUUACAUCCUAUCCCAAACCUACGACAACAAAGAUUGCAGUGGAUAGGGUUAAAACCCAGUACCACCAAGACAACAGCCCAGAGCGUAUCAGCUGCCAUCCAUAAUAUACUGAAAUGUAUGGAUUGCUUUAAAUGUGAUAUAAAUCAAUCUAAAUAAAACUUGCCUUGAUUCGCUAUUGCACUUGCUUUCCAUUUAGCCAUAUUUUCAAUGAUUAUUUUCAUAAGUAAAUCCCGUAAAUUUUUAUGAAAGCCAUCUG
rnacentral:sRNA from 1 species